rnacentral:lncRNA from 1 species
UAGCCUUCUUAAGGCAAACUUGUCUAACUCAUGUCUGUACUCAGAUAUUGUUGCUUCCGAUGACUCUUGUGUUUUUCGAGCUUAUGUAUUCGAGCCCUCGAGGCCCCUGGCUUGUAAUAUAAAGCUUGUAUUAUUUUAAUUUGUGUCUAGAGUUGUGUUGUGAUAUCUUCCCGUGAGUCCUUGAUCUUGAUCAUACACAUUUGCGUGUAUGAUUAGUGUAUGGUCAAAUCGGGGGCGUCACAAGUUGGUAUCAGAGCUGACUGCCUGUAGGUAGCCACCUUUCCAACUCCUUGGCCGAAGUUGAGUCUAGUCACUAUGAAAACUUUUACUAACAUGGUUGUGUGUCUUACGGCCCACGUCGCCAUUUGGGUGGUAUUAGGAUCUUUUAUUCCUCGUCUAUACUCUGGGACUCUGAUCUCUCUUCUAUUCGGGUUAAAUGGUUUUACUAACUCGAACAUUAGGAUCUCGUGAUCACAUCUGCCCGGAGAGCCCCUUAUUUCAGAUGAUCGAUUGCUGCAUCAGAAGAUUCCGAAGUUACUCUACGAUAUUCUGUCGAGACUUUGUGCCUGUUGCCUUGCAAUUCCCUACCACCGAAAUAUCCUCAUGGAUAACCAGAUGCCCUGAACUGCUCUUACAUUCUAUCCCACGGAUCUUGUUAUUACCAGAUGCCCUGAACUGCUCUCCUUUGUUCCGAGGAUCCUUUGAGCUUACUGCCUUGCAGUUCCUUGUCAUCUGAAUACCCCUAUGAAUAAUUCCUCUCUAUUACCGAAGAUUCUUCAUCCCCAGUUGUUUGAGUGUUUCACAAAAAAUCUUUGAAAUCCUAUUCGUUCUUGUGAAAGUCCUCAACAGCCUAUUGUUCUUGAAUUUCUUGCUUGCUUGCAUUAUGGUUAAUACCAUAAGUCUAGUAAUCUUAUUGUCAUCCUUUGUCAUUAUCAUUUUGAGUCCGUUGAUACAAUAUGUUGCGAAUGCUCGCAAUCCUCAAUCAGAUCCUAGAAUUCAUCCUUCUGACUCAGAUGUCAUUUUAACAUGUGCUGAAUCUUGAUCAAUCAAAUCGCCAUCGAUUGUACCCCUAAGGCUAUUUGUCACAUCCCUAGUCUGGUAUGACCUAGACUAGCUAGUCAUUUGUGCAUCAUGUUUAAAAUUCCAUUUAAUUUUGAAAUGAGGAUUGGUGGAACCCUCGGAAUCAUUUUUGAAAUGACCCAAAUAAAAAUUGCUCCAAAAAGGUCCAAGAAAAUGCUCAUGUUGCUCUCUGAUAAUAUUGGUCAGAGGUAAAAUUCAAACAAAUAUUUUAGGAGCUCAUGGAUAUUUAAUUUUGGCCAUUUGGAUUAAUCCAAUAAUUAUUGCCUUGGAUAUAUUAGUUAUAUAUAUUAAUAUAUGUCCAAAAAUUAUGCCACUUGUUGGGGAGCUCUGGAAUAAUGCCACUAGUUCCUACAAAAAUUGGCAUAAGGAAAUAAAUUGAUUUAGUAUUAUUACUAAAUCAAAACAUAUGUCAGAAAAUAGAAAAAGAAAUAAAAGAGGGAGACUUACCUGGGCCUCCUCCCUGUGCAGCCCAGCAGCAGCCAGCGCCGGCCCAGCCCACCUGGCCCCCUCCUCUGUCGUCUUCCUCCCCGACAGGAGGACGGGCGCGUGCCCGACGCGCGCGCGCUCUGCCGCGCCACGCCACCAGCCUCCCUGCCUGCCUGCCCUCUCCCCUCCUCGUCUGGACGCCUCUGGAGACACCACGCGCCACCCCGNNNNNNNNNNNNNNNNNNNNNNNNNNNNNNNNNNNNNNNNNNNNNNNNNNNNNNNNNNNNNNNNNNNNNNNNNNNNNNNNNNNNNNNNNNNNNNNNNNNNNNNNNNNNNNNNNNNNNNNNNNNNNNNNNNNNNNNNNNNNNNNNNNNNNNNNNNNNNNNNNNNNNNNNNNNNNNNNNNNNNNNNNNNNNNNNNNNNNNNNNNNNNNNNNNNNNNNNNNNNNNNNNNNNNNNNNNNNNNNNNNNNNNNNNNNNNNNNNNNNNNNNNNNNNNNNNNNNNNNNNNNNNNNNNNNNNNNNNNNNNNNNNNNNNNNNNNNNNNNNNNNNNNNNNNNNNNNNNNNNNNNNNGCUCCUCCUCUUCCCCUGCUCUCUCCCUCGCACACCCGAGCGCCAUCACCGCCGCCGCUCGCCGUUGCCGCGGCCACCGGCCUCCCCUCGCCCUCCGCCCGAGCCUAGAAGCUCCGCCUCGUCGUCCGCAUCGUCCUCGACGAGCCAAGUGACCAGGGACGCGCUCCAUCGCCGACACCGUCGUCUUCUUCAUCGCCGGCCGCCGUGGAUCCCCAUCGCCGCCCCGCCGUCUCCAGUGCGUCCCCGAGCCCGCUUCGACGCCCGCUGCAACCGCGGUGAGCUCCGCCACCGUUUCCCCCUCUCCGCUUAGUCACCCGCACGCCGUAGCCCUUUCCCCACCACGGCCGAAGCUUCCCGCCGCCGUCCAUGCCGCCGUCGUCGUCUCGGCCCGCCUCCGCCCGAACCGAGCACCCCAUCGUGCUCCCAGUGCCACGAGGGUGCCACCGAGCCCCUCAGGUGGCCUCCCCGUGCCCCACAGCCCGUUCCCGAUCGAAGCCGAGCUCCGGCCGCCGCCGCGAGCUUUGCUCCGGCGAGCUCCGGCCUCCCCAGCUCCUCCCACCUGCCCCUCCAGAUGCGCGAGAGCCCGGGCUACGCCCCGGUGCUCUCCGACGCCGUCCCCGUGGCCGGUAUCACGGACGCCGCCGCGUCCAGAGGUCGCCGCCGACGACCUCGCCGGCCUGACGAGUGGGCCCCGUCCGCUUGAUGAACUCGAUCUUCAUGGAGUACUUAGAUAAGUUCGUCGUGGUUUACCUCGAUGAUAUUCUUAUUUACUCGAAGAACGAGGAAGAGCAUGCCGAACAUCUUAGACUUGUUUUAGAAAAACUCAGAGAGCACCGCCUUUAUGCCAAGUUCUCCAAGUGUGAAUUUUGGUUGCCAGAAGUGACCUACCUAGGCCACGUAGUCUCUGGUAAGGGCAUUGCUGUCAAUCCCGAGAGAGUUCAGGCUGUUCUCGAUUGGACUCCACCUGAAACCAUUAAACAAGUUAGGAGUUUCCUUGGUCUAGCCAGCUAUUGUCGCCGCUUUGUUGAAAAUUUCUCCAAAGUAGCCAAACCCCUCACGGAACUUCUCAAGAAAGAUAAAAAGUUCGAGUGGUCCCCACAGUGUGAGUACAGUUUUCAGGAACUGAAAAGACGCCUAACUUCUGCUCCCAUACUUGUGCCACCGGAUUUCACAAAGGACUUUGUUAUCUAUUGUGACGCCUCACGACAGGGACUAGGUUGCAUUCUUAUGCAGGAUCGUCAUGUGAUUGCCUAUGCAUCUCGACAGUUGCAUCCACAUGAGGAGAAUUAUCCUACACAUGAUCUAGAGCUUGCAGCCGUAGUCUAUGCACUCAAGACCUGGCGACAUUACCUUCUUGGUAAACGUUGCGAGAUCUACACCGAUCACCAGAGUCUCAAGUAUAUUUUCACCCAACCAGAUUUGAACCUUAGGCAAAGACGUUGGUUGGAGUUGAUCACAGAUUAUGAUCUAGGAAUUACCUACACCCCAGGCAAAGCCAAUGUCAUGGCUGAUGCUCUAAGCCGUAAAUCCUAUUGCAACAAUCUCAUGCUGCAGCAAGGCCAACCACUUCUCCAUGAGGAAUUCUGUAAGCUUAACCUUCACAUGGCUCCUCAUGGAUUCCUUUCUACCUUGGUGGCGAAACCUACCCUUGAGGAUCAGAUCAUCUCUGACCAGAAGUUUGAUAGGGGUGUUAUCCGCAUUAAGAGAAACAUUAAGAAGGGAGUUGGUGGAUGUUUCUCUAUGGAUGAUCGAGGUGUUGUCUUCUUUGUGAAUCGCUUGGUGGUUCCCAAGAGUCAACAUCUUCGACAAUUGAUUCUUAAGGAGGCGCAUGAAUCUCCUCUCACGAUUCAUCCCGGUAGUACUAAGAUGUAUCAGGAUCUACGCCAGAGGUUCUGGUGGACUAGGAUGAAGAGAGAAAUCGCUGAGUUCAUUGCUAAAUGUGACGUUUGUCAUCGCGUUAAGGCAGAGCAUCAAAGACUUGCUGGCACCCUUCAGCCUUUAGCUAUUCCUGAAUGGAAAUGGGAUAAAGUUGGUAUGGACUUCAUCACCGGCUUUCCCAGGACCAAGAGAGGGAAUAACGCUAUCUUCGUAGUCAUUGAUCGUCUUUCCAAAGUGGCUCACUUCCUUCCUGUUCGAGAGAGUAUCACUGCUAGUCAGCUUGCUGACUUAUAUAUUUCUCGAAUAGUAUCACUUCAUGGUUUUCCACUAGAGAUCAAUUCAGACCGUGGCAGUCUUUUCACUUCUCAUUUCUGGGAGAGUUUCCAAACUGCCAUGGGAACCCAUCUUUCCUUCAGUACCGCUUUCCACCCUCAGUCGAGUGGUCAGGUGGAACGGGUCAACCAAAUUCUUGAAGACAUGCUUAGAGCUUGCGUUAUCUCAUUCGGUAUGGAUUGGGAGAAAUGUCUUCCUUUUGCCGAGUUUGCUUAUAACAAUAGCUAUCAAUCCAGCCUCAAGAAAGCUCCUUUUGAGGUUCUCUAUGGACGAAGAUGUCGAACACCUUUGAACUGGUCAGAAACCGGUGAAAGACAAUUCUUUGGACCAGACAUGAUCCAGGAGGCAGAAGAGCAAGUUCGCAUCAUUCGUGAGAACUUGAAAACAGCCCAGUCUCGUCAAAAGAGUCAGUAUGAUCGUCAUCAUAAGGAUAUGACUUAUGAAGUUGGCGAAAAGGCUUACCUUCGGGUUACUCCUUUGAAUGGUACCCAUCGCUUCGGUAUCAAGGGCAAGUUGGCUCCUCGUUACAUUGGUCCUUUUCGCAUUCUCGCUAAACGAGGAGAGGUUGCCUACCAAUUGGAACUACCCCCACAUCUUUCUCGAGUUCAUGAUGUCUUCCACGUCUCUCAACUCAAGUGUUGCUUCUCGGAUCCUAUCCGCGGAGUGGACCACGAAACGCUUGAUCUCCAAGAUAACCUCACCUACCGAGAGUACCCGGUUCGCAUUCUUGAUCAAGCAGAGCGUGUUACCCAACGUCAGAACAUCAAGUUUCUCAAGGUUCAGUGGUCUCAUCAUUCCGAGAGAGAAGCUACUUGGGAGCGAGAAGAUCGUCUUCGAUUGGAGUACCCCGCUUUCUUUCCGUCAACCCCUGAAUCUCGGGACGAGAUUCUUCCAAGUGGGGGCGAGUUGUCACAUCCCUAGUCUGGUAUGACCUAGACUAGCUAGUCAUUUGUGCAUCAUGUUUAAAAUUCCAUUUAAUUUUGAAAUGAGGAUUGGUGGAACCCUCAGAAUCAUUUUUGAAAUGACCCAAAUAAAAAUUGCUCCAAAAAGGUCCAAGAAAAUGCUCAUGUUGCUCUCUGAAAAUAUUGGUCAGAGGUAAAAUUCAAACAAAUAUUUUAGGAGCUCAUGGAUAUUUAAUUUUGGCCAUUUGGAUUAAUCCAAUAAUUAUUGCCUUGGAUAUAUUAGUUAUAUAUAUUAAUAUAUGUCCAAAAAUUAUGCCACUUGUUGGGGAGCUCUGGAAUAAUGCCACUAGUUCCUACAAAAAUUGGCAUAAGGAAAUAAAUUGAUUUAGUAUUAUUACUAAAUCAAAACAUAUGUCAGAAAAUAGAAAAAGAAAUAAAAGAGGGAGACUUACCUGGGCCUCCUCCCUGUGCAGCCCAGCAGCAGCCAGCGCCGGCCCAGCCCACCUGGCCCCCUCCUCUGUCGUCUUCCUCCCCGACAGGAGGACGGGCGCGUGCCCGACGCGCGCGCGCUCCGCCGCGCCACGCCACCAGCCUCCCUGCCUGCCUGCCCUCUCCCCUCCUCGUCUGGACGCCUCUGGAGACGCCACGCGCCACCCCGACCCCUCUCACUCUNNNNNNNNNNNNNNNNNNNNNNNNNNNNNNNNNNNNNNNNNNNNNNNNNNNNNNNNNNNNNNNNNNNNNNNNNNNNNNNNNNNNNNNNNNNNNNNNNNNNNNNNNNNNNNNNNNNNNNNNNNNNNCCCGUGCUCCUCCUCUCCCCCUGCUCUCUCCCUCGCACACCCGAGCGCCAUCACCGCCGCCGCUCGCCGUUGCCGCGGCCACCGGCCUCCCCUCGCCCUCCGCCCGAGCCUAGAAGCUCCGCCUCGUCGUCCGCAUCGUCCUCGAUGAGCCAAGUGACCAGGGACGCGCUCCAUCACCGACACCGUCGUCUUCUUCAUCGCCGGCCGCCGUGGAUCCCCAUCGCCGCCCCGCCGUCUCCAGUGCGUCCCCGAGCCCGCUUCGACGCCCGCUACAACCGCGGUGAGCUCCGCCACCGUUUCCCCCUCUCCGCACGUCCCCACCACGGCAGAAGCUUCCCGCCGCCGUCCAUGCCGCCAUCGUCGUCUCGGCCCGCCUCCGCCCAAACCGAGCACCCCAUCGUGCUCCCGGUUCCACGAGGGUGCCACCGAGCCCCUCAGGUGGCCUCCCCGUGCCCCGCAGCCCGUUCCCGAUCGAAGCCGAGCUCCGGCCGCCACCGCGAGCUUUGCUCUGGCGAGCUCCGGCCUCCCCAGCUCCUCCCACCUGCCCCUCCAGAUGUGUGAGAGCCCGGGCUACGCCCCGGUGCUCUCCGACGCCGUCCCCGUGGCCGGUAUCGCGGACGCUGCCGCGUCCAGAGGUCGCCACCGAUGACCUCGCCGGCCUGACGAGUGGGCCCCGUCGGCCAGGUGAUUAGCUUAGUGCUAAUCACCGUUAACUAACCCCCCUGACACUGACAGUGGGCCCCAGCGCCACUAAUCCUUUAGUUAGGAUUAAACUAACCCUGUUUAACCCCCUGUCACUGACGUGUGGACCCCACACGUCAGGUUUGACCCAGUCAGCCGCAGUUGACUUGCUGACGUCAUGCUUACUCAAUGCUGAAGCAAUUAUUUAUUUUCUGGAAUUAUUUUAAUUCAGGAAAUUCCAGAAAUUGAUUUAAACUUCAAAAAUUCAUAUCAAUUCAACCGUAGCUCAGAUUAAAAUAAUUUAUAUAUGAAAAAUUAUCAGAAAAAUGCAAUCCUUCCAUCUGUACUAGUUUCAUGCAUGACAAACCAACUUAUACAUGCUGUAUAUGGGAAAACACAUUAUGGCAUAUAUAAGAGCCUACUUUGGAAGUGCAUUUGAGCUUUUGGGUUCAAAUGGACUUCAAACCAAAUGAUUACUAGUUGCAUUAGCUCAAACAACAUCACAACGUCAUGCCAUGUUCAUGCAUCAUAUUGUUGCAUAUGCUUGUGUAUUGAUUGUUGGCACCGUCCCUUCUCGAUAGGUCCUGCUCCGGAGACGUUCCAGAGUACCUGUCUGUGAAGCAGUGCCUCCCUUGUUGAUUUACCAGGCAAGCAAACCCCCUUGUUCAUUUCGAUAAAACCCUACUCUCUCGCUCCUGCUCUCAGUUAUUGCAUUAGGACAACAACGAUUCAUCUGCUACUUUGUGCUGCGGUAGUUGAACCCAUUCCUCUGCAUGACCUGUCAUUGCCACAGUAAAUAGUUGAAACCCACUAGCAUGUGUAGGAGUUGAUUGAGCCAUGUUGUGUUCCUACCAUGCUAUGCCUGCUAUUGCUUAGAGUUGUGUCAGGUCUGAUUCAUUGGGAAUGAAUUGGAGUGUUACGAUAUGUUCUGGUGCUGAGAGUUAAGUGUGUGAACAUGAUUUGGUAAAGGUAGCGGUGAGAGGCCAUGUAGGAGUACAUGGUGGGUUGUCUCACUGGAACCGUCCUUAAGCACUGAGUUCUAUGUAUGUUGUCCAAUGACUCGAUACUACCACACAUUGGAAUGCUUAAGUGCCCCUCUCGACUUAUUAGCCAACUUGAUCUCUGUCCAGGAGUCGCAACUAGUUUCUGGUGUUUGUAGGUAGUGCUAUUUUUCUACCAAGUGGCACCCGACAGGGUGGGCUUGGGACAGACUAGGCACACGUGGCCUGGUGUACCGAGUGGCACCCGGAUGGUGGGCUCGGGAACCCUGCUCACAUCGUUUGGGGCCGUGAGCGACACCCCGACCGGAUCUCCUUGCGGAUGGAACCCGAAUAGGCGAUAAACCUGGGCUAGAGUCUUGUGUGGUUAGUCAGGUCGUGGCCGACACCCUCGCCAGGCUUCCGCUUGAAGGUUGCCGAGAUACAUGACGUGUACAUGGCGGUAAGUGGCGAGAGCGUGUGUGAAGAAGUACACCCCUGCAGGGUUAACAUGAUCUAUUCGAAUAGCCGGGUCCGCGGUUAUGGACUUCUUGGAUGCUUACAUGGUACAUAGACAACUUGAAGUGUAUACUCUAAAAAGCUCAAGACAAGUGUGAGUGCUAUGGAUGGCCUUCUCGUAGGGAGACGGGGAUGAAUCCAUAGUAGUGUAUUGUGUGGUGAUUAGUGGACUCGUGUGCGCCAUAUCACCUCAAGAAGUUCUGGUAGUCGUAGAACAAGUUAGCCACAGAGUCAAAGCUGGCUUGCUGCAACUAAACCCCACAUUACCCCCUUGAUACACAUGCAUGUAUGAUAGGAUCUGAUGUAAGUCUUGUUGAGUACCUUUGUACUCAUGUUGCUUUAUUUAUGUUUUUGCAGCGGAGACUUCGGUCUUACUAGUGUUCUCAUGGACUUCGACAAGUAGCUUGUACCUCAGCUACGGUCUUGAUCGGACGUUGUAGAUAGUCAGGCUUUCAGCCUUUUUCAUUUAUAGAUGUCUGUACUCAGACAUGUAAUGCUUCCGUUUGUUGCUUGAUUGCUCCGAAUGUUGGGUCAUGUGACCCCUGUUUGUAAUAAUGCUAUGAUGGCUCUUUGAGCCUUAUCUAUAUGAGUUGUUGAGUUAUGCUGUGAUGCCAUGUUGUACAACACAUACUUGCAUGUUAUGCGUACGUGUAAUGUGUAUUGCUAUGUGUGGGAUCUGACUAUCUAGUUGUUUAUCCUUAGUAGUCUCUCUUACCGGGAAAUGUCUCCUAGUGUUUCCUCUGAGCCCUAGUAGCUUGCUACUGCUCCGGAACACUUAGGCUGGCCGGCAUGUGUCCUUCUUCGUUCCUGUGUCUGUCCCUUCGGGGAAAUGUCACGCGAUGAAUACCGGAGUCCUGUUGGCCCGCUACAGCCCGCUUCACCGGAGUCCUGUUAGCCCAGUGCUACAGCCUGGAUUCACUCGCUGAUGACCGACACGUUCGAUGCUGGGUCAUGGAUGCCUGUCCCUGUAAGUUAGUGCCACUUUGGGUUUACGACUAGCCAUGUCAGCCCGGGCUCCUUAUCAUAUGGAUGCUAGAGACACUGUCAUAUACGUGUGCCAAAAGGCGCAAACGGUCCCGGGCAAAGGUAAGGCGACACCCGUGGGGAUACCGUGCGUGAGGCCGCAAAGUGAUAUGAGGUGUUACAUGCUAGAUCGAUGUGGCAUUGAGUCGGGGUCCUGACACUAUUCUACCUAUCCAUCCCUAAUCAGAGCAUUGCUUCUGAUCCCUUCUCUUGGAAGUCAUAAUUCCCUUGCAAUUGGGCUUUGAGUUAGUCAGUUGUUUCUAUAAUCUGAUCUCCUUGCAUUCUUUCUUCCUCUGGUUGAGUACUGAUGCUCACAUCAAAUCCCUUGUGGACCACCAGACCCCUUUUUCAGAUUUUAUCCGACAACAUCCUUCAUAUUAAGUAACCUUGUAGCCUUUUCCUCGGAUACAUAAUGCUUCUAGUAAAUUGUAUCCUCCGCUUUCUCAAGCAGGCUCUACUACCGAGCUUGUGUUAUUAUUCUUGAAAUUUAUGAUAUAUGUUCCUAAGAUGCCCCGAUGGGUUGAACCUAUGCCUUCCCUAAUCUGUGUGAACUCGAAAGUUAUGCGGAUUAUGCUCUACUGGCUUUUUGUCAGAUAAAAUUGUCAAUACUACAACUUCAUCAAGAGCGAGAAGAAAAAUGAAAGGUUAUGCAUUGUAGAAGUGGGAGUCGACCCUGAACCUUGUGUUCAUGCCCACAGACACGGUGUGGGACUUAUCAUGAAAGCUUCUUGCAAGGAUAUUUAAUCAUUUGAAUAAUUCUUCCGGUAUCGUGAAUUGGAUCCCUUGUAGUUAUGGUCCCGACCAUAUUUCCUCCUUGAUCCCAUUUACUGGGUAAGUUACAAUUACUUAUCCUCUGCAAAUCAUUCCCCCGCCCAACCUCUACUCCGAUUUACCUUCUGGGAUUACACCUAGUACUUGAUACUGGGAAGCUUUAUACCCCACCGCAUCAUUCCUAGCCUGAACGGCUAUAUUUUUAUCAUGUCAACUUUUUAACUGUGCUACCUGGUCCUUAUGCCCGGAGCAACUUCCGACGAUGAGCUAAGCUUACGCCGAUCUUCCUCAUCUUAUCAUUCGCCUUGAAUAGCAAGCUUAAUUUCGAGUUGUGUCGUACUCAUGGUUCCAAUAACCUUUCGCUUCAUCAUUCCUUUGACUGGAUUUCAUCGCCGAUCAAUUACAUCUUCAUGGAAUCUCUCGACAAAUGUGUCGUGAUCAUCAUCAACAUUCUGAGCUUUUCCAGGAUAUCAAACAAAUUAAUGAGGGGAAAUACAAUCCUUCCCCUCGAUGAUUUAUGUUAUCAUUGACAACAUUCUUGCCUUCCCCAACACAAACUUGUUCAUAUAAUUUUGGAAAUACAUCCUUUUUGGCAUGCCGAUGGAUUUUGGUUGAGCCUGUCGGACACACUCUUAUCUUUUCCCUACUAAAAUUGUAUGCCUUAUUUUCUAAGUUGUUCCCGAUGGAUCCUUGGUGUAUCCAAAGUCUGACCUUUGCUUGAAACCAUGUUAAUGCUAUCUCGAAGCAUGUCUGUGGUGAUACGAUCUCCAAUGAGAACAUUUGAAGCACGAUACUAAAUUUUCUUUAUCAAUUAUCCAAACACCGUUGUAUGGGUAAUGUCAGGAAUUUUCUUCCCCCUUACCUAAAUGGUUCUAUACUUCUAUCCUGUCAGGGAUAUCAUGCUCUGCUUGUCCUUGGGAAGGAUAUACCCCUGAAAUAUGUGUUUAAACACAGUUUUCCUUUCCAUUGUUCUGCUUAACCUGAUGAUCACAUUUUCCUUUCCAUUGGUUUGUUUGACCUUUCUGGUGAUCUAUAUGAUAUAAGCAGAAUUAUUUCCCUGCUUAUGUAAACACCUCGGUGUACAAACUGUCAGUAAGACCAUGUUACUAUUGUGGACAACUUUCUGGUAGCCACCGAUGGACGAGAACUUUGCCUAUUGGUCCACCUCGUUCAACGAGCAGGAGAAUGGUUCUCUUCAUCCCUCGCCCUUGGUACCGACGAUUGUUGCCGACAUAACUGGCAGGCUACCCUCUGACAUGCCUUGCUAUCACGACCGUUCAAAAUGAAUAGCGCCUUUCCUUCUUUUAACCCACAUGGUGGGCCCAUAACCCACAGUUUCACAGGAUCAAAACCUGACUCUCCUGUACAACCUUGAUGCCGAAAUAUUCUUUACACUUGGCUUAAUAUAAUGUCACGAGCCACCUUCCGAGAGAUGAUCUAUUCCCGAUGCUCUGAACCCAUUUCUCACACUCUGUUCAGGUAUCAAUCGUUUGUCCAUUCGGUUGUAACUUCUUAUUGUACCUUCAUACUUUGCUCUCGAUGUUAUUAAGUUUCAGCUCGAGAGAUACUUCUGCCUCAUUCCCUGAAUUGUUCACUAGAUAAUCAACCCUUUAAGGGUCAGUUCCGAAGUUACUCUUUACAUCCCCACUUAAAUCUCGGGACGAGAUUUCUUGUAGUGGAGGAGACUUGUAACACCCCCAGUGUCAUGCUACAGUAAUCUCAUGCCUAAUGAUGCUAUGUCAUCAUAAUUAUUUUGAUAAUCCUCACUUUGCUUCAAACCAAACUCAAAUCCAAAUUCUAUGGCCAAGUCAAAUCAUAAUUCUAUAAACAGUAAAGCUAAUAUGUUCACAAUUUUCUAUAAAUUCUCCUGACCUUUGUCAAGUUGAAUCCAACUUAAAUUGACUCACAAAUAAUUUCCUAGGAUUUCAAUAAGUGGUCCAAAGGCUUUUAAAUUGGCCUUUUCAAUUAAUCAAAUCUUCUCAACCUUUACAAAUGCCUCGAAAACUUUUGUGCAGCCCUAGAAUAUUGCUAGCAUUUUUGUGCAUAGUUUGAGCUCCGACAAUAAUCAAUUACUAUCUAAACUAAAUAGGAAACACUAGCACUUUUAUAAAAAAGGGAGAAAAGCCCCCCUCUUUUUCCUAUGGACCUAAACCUACAGUCCACCCCCUGUCCCACUGGGCCUUGGCCUAGCUAGCAGCAAAAAUAGGUCCAGCCCACCCCUGCCAUCCCCAACCUCCUGCUACAGGGAGGCAGGGGGUCGUGGCACCCAUCGGCAGGCCAUGGCCGCGCCGUGCCUUGCGUGGAGGCCAUCCACAGCCUCCCCCCUUGCCUACAAGGGACCCGCCUCCCUCUCGCUGGAAACCCUAGGACACUUUCCCCCUCGCCUCUCGCCCUCUCGCUCAAUCUCGAGCUUGUCCGCCACUAACAUCGUCGUGCCACUGUCGUUGUCGCCCACCGCAUCCACCCGGAGCCGCGCCAAGGCGACCAGGGGCUCCACCACGGUCUUCUCCGUCGCCUGAGGCCGCCCGCUGGAGCCCAGCGCCUCCGCAUCAAGCUCGUCGACGCCGUCUUCAACCUCUGCCCCGCCGGACCUCGCCGCUCAAUUCGCCGCCUCCGGUGCUCCCCCGACCUCACUGACCUCCCCAGCCGUACCAAUGUGAGCCCCUACACCGAUUCCCCCUUUCCCACCGUCGAAUCCUUCGUCGUAGGCCGUUGCAUCACCGUGCCCGAGCUCCGGGCGAGCUCGCGGCCGCCGCGCCCGUGGCCGCACUCUGGCGCAUCUCCGGCUUCCUGGCCUCGCCCCUGCGCUGUCGGCGCGUGCACCGGCCGCACCCAGGACCUGCCCGCUCGCACUCGUCGCUCCCUGCCCGCGCGCCAGCUGCGCGUGCGCGUGCGCCCACGCCCGCGUGCCUGCUGCUGGCGAUGCUACUGCGUUCGGCUGCUCCUCACCGCUUGAUGCGCGCGCGGACUGCUUUGCUGCUGCUCGUGCCGCCGCUGAUGCUACUCCCUGCUACUGCUCCUAAUCCCAGCCGCUGCUUCUUCUUACUACUGCCACUGUCGCUAGUUGCUACCGCUACUCUGUUGCCGCUACUCUGCUGAAGUUAUGUUGCUGCUGUUGAUUGCUACUCUAGAUGCUACUAGCUAGCUUUUGUUUUUCUGCAAUGACUAACCCUCUAAACUGUCCCUAAUCAGUGGUUAAACAACUGUCAAAAAGGCUAAGAAAAAUAUGAGAAGAAUGUAUACUUGACAAACUUUAUUUUACCCCACUGGACCAAAUCGUUUCGAUGCAGGGAUUAAAUCUUACAAAUCAAAAAAUGCUAUCUUUUAUUAACAAAACAACAAAAUUGACUUCUAGCAUUGUGUGUUGCGUGCUUGUGUGUGUGUGUGUGUGUGGGGCCGGCUUGGCCAGGGCCCCCGGCCGUGUGUGGCCGGCCCUUGUGUUAAUUAGGACUAGUUUAGUUUAGGAUUAAAGUUAGUGACAAGUUAGUCUAAUAGCUGGUGACAGGUGGAUCUACAGUUAGUUUAAAUAAAAUUAGUUUUAUAAAAAAAUGUCUAAGUCAAUGACGUAUGGGACCCUUCUGCACUGUUCACUUUUGACCAAGUCAACAUCAACUAUGUUGACUUUGACUGGCCCCACUUGUCAUACAUGCUGGCUGGUUAUACUCUGUGUACCCAUGGCAAAUUCCAGUUUUUUUUCGAAUUAAUAGAAUUCCAGGAAUUGUUUAAAAUUUUAAUAAAUUAAUUUAAAAUUAACCGUAGCUCGGAUCGAAAAACUUUGUACAUGAAAGUUGAUCAGAACGACGAGACGAACCCGAUUACGCAACCUGUUCGUCCGCCACACGUCCCUAGCAUAGCAAACCUGCAACCGUUCCCCUCCGUUUCAUCUGUCCGAAAAUGCCUAACUCUGGGAAAACUUUCCCAAAUGUUUCCUUCCUUCGCCAGUAUCGCCUAGUACUGCGUUAGGUCACCCCUGGCACCGUGUUUUGCCUUGUUAUAUUUUUUGAUGCUUGUUUGCCCCGUAUUUACUGCCUCCCACUUCUUCUCCGGUAGACGCCGAGACCGAUGAUGCCCCUAUGAUCGACUACGUCGACGACGACCCCUUCUUCUCGCUCGAGCAACCAGGCAAGCAAACCCCCCCUUGAGCAUUCCGAUAUCGCCCAUUUCUUUCCCUCUCAUGCUUGCAUUAGAACUGCUACUGCUUUCUGUAUGAUCCUACUCUGAUGCAUAGCCUGUUGUUGUUACCUGCUUUCAUACCUUACCUGCUUAUCCUAAACUACUUAGUAUAGGUUGGUUAGUGAUCCAUCACUGACCCACACCUUGUCCCAGUUGCCUCGCUUUAUGUUCGAUAACUCGAUGAACGUGAUCGACGUCCAGGCCCCGACACCGCACAUCACCCCCCUAGUUGUAUGACUCUGCAGAGUUACCAUCGAGUGCCGAGGGUGGAACCUCUUACAUCACUCCUGAUGAGAUCUCCGUAGUGUAGCUAUACGGCCGAGGUCAUCGAGGGUGAUUUCCUCCUUAACCACUUCCGUUAUCGCUCUGUCGUGCAACCCCUCAAGUGUAAACCUCGAGGGUGGAUCCUCUUACGUUCACCUUGAUGAUAACAUCGAGUGGGAUUCACCGGGGGUGAUUCCUCGAGUUUUCCCCUUGGUGUUAGACACACAGUUACUAUGGUUACUAUGACUUUACACUGAGCCAUGUUACUAAAGACGGGUCGACCCUGAGGGGUACCCGCGCGAGCUUAAUUAGCGAGUGAUGUGGAGUCGGGUUGACCUGGAAGGUGCCCGCGAGAUACUUACGAGGCGUGGCCGGGCAUUCUAGCCCUUGCCGCAAGUACUUGAGACGGGGCGACGGGGUCACAUCGAUCGCGAGUCUCUGCUCGUUACCGCGCGUUCCUAAUCCACUACAUUUUGGAUAUUUGAUCCGAGGGGCCUCUGGCCUGAUAGCACUAACCAUCACGUGGGCAUAGUAUGGGCGUUCUGUGUCGUAUACAUCAGCCGAAACAUAAUAGACGUCAGCGACUGAGCGGCGCGCGCCGGGUUGGACUGGAAAGCACCUGCCUUGUUGAAGGAGGUAGCUAGAUCUGCUCACCGGCCGCGUUCGCAACGUGCAGGAGUUCCCGGGGAGAUGGCCCAUGACCCUUGGGGGCAUAGGUUUAGUCCGGCGUGCUGGCCUAAUCCUAGGUCGGGUUGCGGCGUAUUGUUUGGCCGAGGCCGGGCAUGUCCCAGGAAAGUGUGUCCGGCCGGAGUUAAUCGAGCGUGGUGGGUAAGUUGGUGCACCCCUGCAGGGAAGAAAACAUCUAUCGAUAGCCUGUCCUACGAUAACGGACACUUGGAGUUGUGUCCCGAUCAAUACAACUAGAACUGGAUACUUGUGAUGAGAACUGGAUGGUGAUGAGUUUUGGAAUGUGUUGACACUUGGAUAGUAUGGCUCUGGGAUUGCUUUCUCGUAGAGAGUCGAGGAAGGAUCUCUGGCCGAGGUUGAUAACACUUCUAUUACUUUACGUUAUGCUACUCUACCCCCUCCUGUUGCUGCAAGAUGGUGGUUUUCAGAAGAUGCUAGUCUCGAUAGGCUAGGCUUUCCCCUUCCCUUCUGGCAUUCUGCAGUUUAGUCCACAGAUAUAACCCAUUCCUUUGAUACAGAUGCAUACUUAGUUUAGAUCUGAUGUACGUCUUGCGAGUACUUUGGAUGAGUACUCACAGUUGCUUUGCUACUUCUUUUUCCCCCAUACCCGUUUGUUGCGACCAGAUGACGAAUCACAGGAGCCAGACGACACCACCGAUGACUACUACUACCCGGAGGAUGCCUACUACUACGUGAAGACCGCAGACGACUAGGAGUAGUUAGGAGGCUCCCAGGCAGGAGGCCUUGCCUUUUCGAUCGUUGUUGUUUUUGUGCUAGCCUUCUUAAGGCAAACUUGUCUAACUCAUGUCUGUACUCAGAUAUUGUUGCUUCCGAUGACUCUUGUGUUUUUCGAGCUUAUGUAUUCGAGCCCUCGAGGCCCCUGGCUUGUAAUAUAAAGCUUGUAUUAUUUUAAUUUGUGUCUAGAGUUGUGUUGUGAUAUCUUCCCGUGAGUCCUUGAUCUUGAUCGUACACAUUUGUGUGUAUGAUUAGUGUACAGUCAAAUCGGGGGCGUCACAGUCGUAUCUACUUUUCCAAACACUUUUGCCCUUGUUUUGGAUUCUAACUUGUAUGAUUUGAAUGGAACUAACCUGGACUGACGCUGUUUUCAGC